rnacentral:lncRNA from 1 species
UCCUUAGCCUCCCGCAGAUGUGCGGGGUGGGGCCCGGGACUGAGCGCGCGUGCCGCCAGCACCGGCCUAAGGGCCCAACACGCCCUGACUCACCGAACCACGUUCCCCGCACCCGGGGAAGCUUUCAGAUCAUGAAACUGAGGCUCGGGAGGAGCUAAAGAAGCCCUCCGAGGUCACGUGUCCUGUGGAGAACUCUAAUAGAAGGCUUCAGUAAGAAUGACUUUUUGAAGGAGGCACAAAGAAAUGCAACAACGCCUGAACAUGCAGAUGUGCUGUGUAUCCUGUCUGUGAACAGCAAAACUUCAGCCAUCUGAAGCCUUUGGAUGCGAAGACAAGCCUAAUUUUCUCGAGAGUUAAGUUUUACCCAUAAGGGAUGUUUCUAAAUUAUGUCACCCAUUUUCCUCGCUUCUGAAACAAAGGAUGCUGGGGAGGUUUUCGUUUUUGUUUUGGCCACCCAAGACAUGUGGGGUUCCCUGUUCAAGGAUCAGAUCCUAUGCUGUAGCUGCAGCAACACUGGAUCCUUUAGCCCGCUGGACUGGCCUGGGGAUCAAACCUGCGUCCUGGCACUGCAGAGAUGCCGCCAAUCCCGUUGGGCCACAGCAGGAACUUCUGGGCAUGAGUUAAACUUACCUUGAAGAAAUCUCACCAUCAUUUCAAACACUUAGGUUCUGAAUUUUGCUAAAAGCUCUGAUGACUGCUGGUAGCAUCAAGAACGCUGGAGCUCUUCACUCGGCAGCCCCAGAGUUGUUGGUUUUUUUGUUUUGUUUUUCAUCUUUCUGCUACUUUUUGAUCAUUUCCCCCCGGCCCCCCCUUACAUUUCUUGCUCACUGUUAUUUCUCACUGCUUUCAAUCUGGCUGAUUGUGACCCUCAGCUGGCUCUGCUUCUCAGCUUCAGAAAUCAUCAAAGUUAUGAGAAAUCUACACAGAGAAAAUAGGUUGUGGUUGAGAGCCAGGACCUGUCCUUGGCCAUUCUGUGGGGCUGAGUUCCGUGGAUGCGAGGCGACGCGGUCUGUGCUGCUUCCCUCCUCUAGUCCAAAGGCAGGAUGUGGUCUGAGUGUCCCUCGCCUUGAUGGGCCUGUGGCCCGAGGGUUCAGAUGGACAAUAGCCACGGAAACAGCAGGCUCUGAAAGCAGAUGGCGAGUGUGGCUGGCACUUUGCACUUUUGCAGAAUACUGAGUCUCAUCCUCAGGUUUGAGCUUCGGCAGCCAGAGCUGACUGUGGGUUGCUUUAAUCUUGUUUGCAGAUGUCAGCAGAAGAAAGGCUCGCUGAGUUUGGCUCAGUGUGGUGGCAUUUCAGACUCGGAAACUCAGAGUUACCUUUGAAAUCCGAGCACAAUUUCACGUUUAGGGAUGUGUUUUGAAAGUAGAAACUGAUUGUAAUCAAACAUGAAAAGGCAAUUGUUGUUCGUUUUUAAUCACCCAACCCGAGUGCGGUUAACUGCUUUUGUUGACAGGUGUGGUUCUUAUUGAAAGUAAGAAUCGUGAGUAAUUCUUGCUGAAAUGGACACGCUUGGUCUGGCAAACACUUUUUUUUUUUUUUUCCUCGAUUUUUAGGGCCAUGCCUGUGGCAUAUGAAGUUCCCAGACUAGGGAUCGAAUCGGAGCUGCAGCUGCCGGCCGACACCACAGUCACAGCAACUCGGGAUCUGAGCUGCGUCUGCGACAAGCUGCCUCUGUGACCUACACCGCAGCUCACGGCAACGCCAGAUCCUUAACCCACUGAGCAAGGCCAGGGAUCGAACCCGCAUCCUCAUGGAUACAAGUCAGGUUCAUAACCUGCUGAGCCACAAUGGGAACUCCUUAAUGAUUUUUUAAUAAGAAGCCAUGCAUUUCCGUUUUGCACUGGGCCCUGCAAUUUAUGUUGCCAUUUUCUGGCCAACGUGGAAUAGGAUCAUGGAAUAUCAGAGCUGGAGGCAAUUUAAGAGAUCAGCCUUUCAAAACCCCUCAUUUUAAACAUGGAGGGACUGAGGCCAAAACAAAAAAUGGAAGCGGCCCAAGGUCACAGGACCGUGGGUGGCUGAUUGAGACCCAGGAGACUCCCCCAGUCUUGAGGUCCCUCAUGAUCACAGCCUCUUUGUCCUACACGGAGACAGUGCUUCCUGCCCAGUUAAUUCAUGAAUAGGGAUGAGAAGCAAAUUGAACGAUAAUCUAAGCAGUUAAUACAGCGGACUUUAAAUUUUCCGUGUAUCCCCCUUCUUCCAACACACGUUGCAGGAAGGAACCCGUUUUGACUGUAACAUUCCACAGUGGCUGUUGACUAGCAGGGAAUUCUUAUGGAUGGUGUAAAAUGAGGCUAAAACGCUCAAAAAUGCUUGCAAUUUCCCUGAAUUAAAAACCUGAGUGGCGUUUUUUUCCCUGCUUACAAAAGAAAUACAUUCUCAUGGUUGGACAUGAGGAAACUGACCAAGAAGGAAAAAAAAAAAGACCAUGCCACAGUUGUAGAUUCUUCCCCGUGUUGUUUUCCACGCAUGUGCGUUAUUUAUACAGCUGAUCUCAAAGGCUCUUUGCUGAGCCUUUAUGUGCCAGUUAAUGUUAUAGUCGGCUAAACCGUGUGAAAUUGCUGUUUGUGUAGGUCCAAAAGGGUUGAAUAUUGGCAAUUUGAUGUUCAACCAAAUUGCAAACGUGUUUCCUUCAAAUCAUAGCAUAUUCUUUGUAAACAUCCCAUUUAUGGGCUGUAUAAAAUUCCAUCAUGUGGCUGCAUGCCGUUAUGUAGCAUUUAUGGAAGGGUGUUAUCCUAGUUUAUAUCAUAAUUCACAUUAUUAAAUAUAAUCGUCUGCUUAUCAUUAUAAUACUCUUAUUAUAGCCAUGAUCUUCUUCUUCUAACAUCGUCCAAAAAUAAUUAUACGCAAGUAGCUAUAUGUCAUGUUAUGGUCAAGCAUUUCCUCCUUUUAAAAAUCAUGCAUAGAUGUCCUAUUCUUUUAAAAAUCAUUUUAUUUUUAUGUUAAAGGGGUGUUUUAUUUUGAAAGCUUGAAAAAAGUAGAAGGAAAGCGAGAAGUAAAAUCAUCACCCUGAAAUGUAAUCCUCAGGGCAUUUCUUUCUGGUCUGGGUUUCCUGCGUUUAUAUGCAUCUGAAAGCCUGCACUUUGCACGGUCCCCGAACAGCAUGUGGUGAACAUUACGUAGAAUAUUAUGAAUCUGAUGAAGUGCAUUCCCAGGACUGUGGGAAAGGAGCUCCUCAAAGUGAGGUCCUUGGAUCCGGGCCAGUCGCUGAGCGCAUGUCUGUCACCGUCUGUGCGGAGACAACUUCAGAAACUGAGGGCAAACUUUGAAGGAACUUUUAUAGUAACCGGACAUUGCCUGGCACCCAAG